UAAUUUUUCUCUGGUCUUCCUAUUUACAGCAACAGAAAGGAGAAGUUGUUCUCCCUGAAUGAGCAGCUCCUGCGUCAAAAUGCCCAGCUUGCGGAAAAGAACGCACAACUCUGCAGGGAGCUGGAGGAGAAGCAGAGGAGAAUAAAGAUUUUGGAACAGCAGAACCGCCAUCUCCACUGCAGGUUCUGCAGCAAGCUGGGGAGAAGCAGGAGCUCCUGGGGAGAACCAAGCGUUGUGGGAACAACUGGACAGGUAAUUCUACAGAGGAAUUAUUGAGUCUGUCAUUUGCACCUCUAGAACUGUCUGGUUCGGUUCUGCAACCCAACAAGAAAAACACAGACUUCAGAGGAUAAUUAGAACUGCAGAAAAAAUAAUUGCUACCAACUUGCCUUCCAUUGAGGACCUGUAUACUGCACGAAUCAAGAAGAGGGCCGUGAAAAUAUUUGCAGAUCCCUCGCAUCCUGGACAUAAACUGUUUCAACUCCUACCCUCAAAACGACGCUAUAGAGCACUGCACACCAGAACAACUAGACACAAGAACAGUUUUUUCCCGAAGGCCAUCACUCUGCUAAACAAAUAAUUCCCUCAACACUGUCAGACUAUUUACUGAAUCUGCACUACUAUUAAUCGUUUCAUAGUUCCCAUCACCAAUCUCUUUCCACUUAUGACUGUAUGACUAUAACUUGUUGCUGACAAUCCUUAUGAUAUAUAUUGAUAUAUUGAUCAUCAAUUGUGUUGUAAAUGUUGUACCUUGAUGAACGUAUCUUUUCUUUUAUGUACACUGAGAGCAUAUGCACCAAGACAAAUUCCUUGUGUGUCCAAUCACACUUGGCCAAUAAAAUUCUAUUCUAUUCUAUUCUAUUCUAUUCUAUUCUAUUCUAUUCUAUUCUAUUCUAUUCUAUUCUAUUCUAUUCUAUUCUAUUCUAUUCUUCUUCUUUCUUCCAAUAUUGAGCAAUCAAAAGUCUUGCGGCUGUUAUUAAGUUCAAAAUCAGUUUAGUCUCUAUAGCUGUACAAUCCAUAAUUAUUCCUAGUAGAAAGAACUGUGGAGUAAACUUAAUCUUCUUUUUCAGAAUGUUCUGCAUGAUCCACCAUACUUUAAUCCAAAAUGCUUUAACUUUUUUACAAGUCCACCAUAUAUGGUAAUAAGUGGCAUCUUCACAAUCGCAUCUCCAACAUUUAGCCUGUACAUUAGGAUACAUACAUGACAACUUUUUGGGGUCUAAAUGCCAUCUAUAAAACAUCUUAUAAAAAUUUUCUCUCAUAUUUUGCGCUUGUGUAAAUUUAACAUUCCUCACCCAAAUUCUUUCCCAAGUUUCCAACAUUAUUGGUUGCUGAAAAUUUUGUGCCCACUUAAUCAUACAAUCCUUAACCAAUUCAGUCUCUGAGUCUAUUUCUACUAAUACAUUAUACAACCUCUUAAUAUGCUGUUGACCUUGAUCUCUCAUUUGUUUUAACAAAUUAUCCUGUUUGCUUAAUACCUAUUUUUUGAUCUAAUUUCCAUCUAGCUUGUAAUUGUCCAUAUUGAAACUAUGUAUAAUUUUUCCCUUCUUCCCCCAUCUUUUCUCUGGAUUUUAAUUGUAAUUCCCCCUUUUCCAUACAAAGGAGUUCUUUAUAGGUAACUACCUCCAUCUUUUGAUAUAUAUUUAUAUUUUCUAUCAUGUGUCUCGGGAUUGCCCAUAUUGGAAUCUUUCCAUCUAAUUUAUAUUGAUAUUUCCUCCAGACCCUCAAUAAUGCAUUUCUAAUUAUAUUAUUUUUAAAUAUUUUAUCAACUUUCUUAUCAUAUAAUAAAUAGGCGUGCCACCCAUAUAACAAUCCAUAACCUUCUAUAUUCAAAACUCUUUCCUCAAUUAAAUUAAUCCAAUCAGUAAUUAAUGAUAAGACAACUGCUUCAUAAUACAAUUUUAAAUUAGGCAUUUUAAGACACCCCCCCCUUUCCCUUGCGUCCUGCAUUAUUUUUAAUUUUAUUCUUGGUUUUUUGCCCAUCCAUACAAAAUUAUUAACCCCAUUUUGCCAUUCCUGUAAUUUGAUAUCGUUCUUAAGUACCGGUAUCAUUUGAAACAAAAAUAGAAACCUGGGCAAAACAUUCAUUUUUAUAGCUGCUAUUCUUCCCAGCAAGGUUAGUUGUAACUUCUUCCAAUUCUCCAUUUCUUUCCAUACCUUCUGCCACAAUACCUCAUAAUUAUUUUUGUAUAAUUUGACAUUUGAAGCUGUAAUAUAUAUUCCUAAAUAUUUAACCUUUUUAACGAUUUCAAAACCCGUAGUUCUUUCUAACUCUUCUUUUUGUUGUACAUUCAUAUUUUUAGUUAUCAUCUUUGUCUUUUGCUGAUUCACCUUAAAUCCAGAUACUUUACCAUACUGACCAAUUAUUUCUUUUAAACCAAUAGCUGAGUAUAUUGGUUGAGAUACAGUAACAACCAAGUCAUCUGCAAAAGCUCUUAAUCUAUAAUCUUGAUGUUUAAUUCUAAUUCCCUUUAUUCGAUCAGAACCACGUGUUUUAUUCAAAAGAAUUUCUAAAGUUAAAAUAAAAAGUAAUGGAGACAAGGGGCAUCCCUGUCUCGUCCCUUUCCCAAUUUUAAA